rnacentral:rRNA from 1 species
CAGCCGCCGCGGGAAUACGUAGGGUGCGAGCGUUAAUCGGAAUUACUGGGCGUAAAGCGUGCGCAGGCGGUUGUGUAAGACAGGUGUGAAGUCCCCGGGCUUAACCUGGGAACUGCGCUUGUGACUGCACAGCUAGAGUAUGGCAGAGGGGGGUGGAAUUCCACGUGUAGCAGUGAAAUGCGUAGAGAUGUGGAGGAACACCGAUGGCGAAGGCAGCCCCCUGGGCCAAUACUGACGCUCAUGCACGAAAGCGUGGGGAGCAAACAGGAUUAGAUACCCCAGUAGUCCCUGUCUCUUAUAC